rnacentral:rRNA from 1 species
CUACGGGUUGCAGCAGUGGGGAAUUUUGGACAAUGGAGGAAACUCUGAUCCAGGGAUACCGCGUGGGUGAUGAAGAUUUACGGAUUGUAAAGCCCUUUUAGUAGGGAAAAUAAUGAUGGUACCUACAGAAAAAGCAUCAGCUAACUCUGUGCCAGCAGCUGCGGUAAUACAGAGGAUGCGAGUGUUAUUCGGAAUCACUGGGCGUAAAGGGCGCGUAGGCGGUUAUUUAAGUCCGCAAUGAAAUACCGGGGCUCAACUUCGGUGCUGUUGUGGAUACUGUUUAACUAGAGAACGGAAGAGGUGAAUAGAAUUCCUGGUGGAGAGGUGAAAUUCGUAGAUAUCAGGAGGAAUGCCAGAGGCGAAAGCGGUUCACUGGGACGUUUCUGACGCUGAGGCGCGAAAGCGUGGGGAUCAAACAGGAUUAGAUACCCCGGUAGUC